AUGGCGCCGCCCAAGCUCCACGUCCUGUGCCCGUCCACCUCUAGCGGUUGGGAGGUCAAGCAUCCGCCCAUCAUUCCCUGCGACGAUGCCAGGGAAUUUGAUCUGGAGGAGUUCUUGCGGUGCUUUGAUGCUCACGCCGUCGUCCCCUUCAGGAGCUACCUGUGCUGGGUGGAUUACUCCCUUGGCAUCCUGUUCUGCGAUGUGUUCGACGAGAGCCCCAAGCUCCUAUACCUGGAACUCCCAGCUCAAUUGCCCCGAUUGCAUCGCGAAGUCAUGGGCCGAGCAUGGGCGGAUGCGUACCACGCCGUCGGCGUCACAGAGGGCGAGGUCAUGAAAUUUGUCAAACUUGUCCAUGACAAGGACAGGUUCUCUGAAACCAUCGGACCUGCCACUGAUGCUUUCACCAUCACCUCCUGGGCACUUAGAAUAACAGAAAGCGACGGCAUGAUGAAGUGGGAGCAGGAUGCAUUUCUUAGAUCCAGCGAGAUCGGGUUUGAUGGAUUCACGCAUCUUCCUCGUGUUGAGUCCUCUGGAUUGGUUAGGGUUAAGGAUUCACGGUGGUCUCACGGUGGUCUUUACCUUUUCCUUGAAUCGAUGAGCCCGAGCUGGUGGCCAUGGUGGUGCUAUGUCGCACGGGGGUGA
rnacentral:rRNA from 1 species